UUUUUCUUUUUAUUUUUGUUCGUUUUCCUUCCAUCAUUUUAUCUUACUUUAUUUUUUCUUCAAAUUGCUAAACCUAAACUUAACUCCAUCAAACUCUUCCUUUUCUCGACCUUCCCGUCACAGCCAUUCUCGACCAGAAAAAGCACAAUGGCGACCCGCUGCAAAGUGCUGAGAAGGUGAUCUCGUAGAGGAGCUCGAUGUCGCCUAUCAUGAAGGCGGUGAGGAGUUCGGGCGUUGAACUGGACGAGGGAGUCGCAGACUUGGGAGACGAGUAUACAGUCGAAGGGGUUUUCAGUUCUAGGUUUUCCAUUUUUAUUCAAAACUCAAAUCUCAAAAUCAUCUCUUUUAGGUUUAGGUUUCAUGUUUCAAAGGCUUCACCUUUCACCACUGUCCACAAAUUCGUGACAUCAUAAAACCCUAAUCGAAGUUGAGACAAUUCUCAAACGCCUCGGCACUUAUGGCGGCCACAACAGUAUUGUUUGGUGUUGCGAUGUCUUUCCAUAUUGAUUUCACUUCCAAUUCAACUUUUCAAAAUUGUCUCUCACACUGAUUGUUAAUGGUGCAGGAAAUUCUGGUUAACUCAUAACUGGGAGUGGGGAUUAUUGUUGCCCUGUACGUGUUUGAUGAAAUUCCUAAGUUAAGUGCAAUACAUUUUUGUUGCCCACCUCUUGUUAUUGUUGGCUUGUUGUAGUGAUUGUUUCUGUUGUUCUAUAGUUGGUUGUGGACGUGAUUCUGACUCCGGUUGAGGAUCUUGCUGUUUUGGUGCUUGUUGCUGGUCAUUUUGGAGAAUUUGUUGCAGGACAUGGAUGGUAUAAAAAUCAUCGGUGGUGGUACUUUUGAUGGUGUCGGUAAGGAAUCAUGGAAAACGGCUACCGACUGUAAAGCAGACCCCAGCGCAACCUGCAUCAGAAACCCUUCUAGACCCAUGGUAACCAUCAUUACCAAACAGAUGAAACAGUUUCCAAGCUUAAAAAGAGUUCAGGACCACCCUACAGAUACAACCAAAAAUUUCACAAUAGAUGGGCACGAAGGUAGAGUUUCGUUUAUCACAUCAAUGACUGAGCAUUUCUGUGCUGGUUGCAAUAGAUUGCGACUACUUGCUGAUGGAAACUUUAAAGUCUGUUUAUUUGGUCCUUCGGAGGUUAGUUUAAGAGAUCCCUUGAGAUGUGGUGCAGAGGAUCAUGAACUUAGGGAGAUAAUAGGAGCAGCGGACUUAUCAUUCUCUUAAUAUGAUGAUGCUGCAAUAGAAUUUCACUCACUGCUAUUUUAAUUUAACAUGCUAAUGAACCUUUAUUAAAGAAGAUAUACUGCAAAUAGGCCUAUGAUACAUAUUGGUGGAUAAGGUAUCAUACAUACAUAGCAGGCCACCAGAGUAGUCCUGGUGAGAAAAUUGAGUAUUAUCUGAGAUCUUCAUUGAUAAUCAAUCUCACUACAAAGGGUGAUCAAUUUUUCAACUAUACCUAGUCACAUAUACUGUUGAAUGUUGUGCCUUUGGAUAGAACCCACUGUUGUAUCGAGUAAUAAUGCAAAUUUGGGAUUGAAUUUUCUGAUCAUGUAUAAAAAUAUAAAUAUUAUAAAGUUAUCCUUCUCUGUAAAAACUUAAGUGAAAAAUAAAUCUCCAAUGUUUUCUUCU